AGAGUUUGAUCCUGGCUCAGGAUGAACGCUGGCGGCGUGCCUAACACAUGCAAGUCGAGCGAAGCGAUCGAGAUGAAGUUUUCGGAUGGAUUCCUGAUUGACUGAGCGGCGGACGGGUGAGUAACGCGUGGGUAACCUGCCUCAUACAGGGGGAUAACAGUUAGAAAUGACUGCUAAUACCGCAUAAGCGCACAGUACCACAUGGUACGGUGUGAAAAACUCCGGUGGUAUGAGAUGGACCCGCGUCUGAUUAGCUAGUUGGUGAGGUAACGGCUCACCAAGGCGACGAUCAGUAGCCGACCUGAGAGGGUGAUCGGCCACAUUGGGACUGAGACACGGCCCAAACUCCUACGGGAGGCAGCAGUGGGGAAUAUUGCACAAUGGGGGAAACCCUGAUGCAGCAACGCCGCGUGAGUGAAGAAGUAUUUCGGUAUGUAAAGCUCUAUCAGCAGGGAAGAAAAUGACGGUACCUGACUAAGAAGCCCCGGCUAACUACGUGCCAGCAGCCGCGGU
rnacentral:rRNA from 1 species